CCUACGGGUGACAGCAGUGAGGAAUAUUGGUCAAUGGACGAGAGUCUGAACCAGCCAAGUAGCGUGAAGGAUGACUGCCUUAUGGGUUGUAAACUCUUUUUAUAUGGGAAUAAAUUGUUCCACGUGUGGGAUUUUGUAUGUACCAUAUGAAUAAGGAUCGGCCAACUCCGUGCCAGCAGCCGCGGUAAUACGGAGGUGCCGAGCGUUAUCCGGAUUUAUUGGGUUUAACGGGAGCGUAGUUGGAUUGGUAAGUCAGUUGUGAAAGUUUGCGGCUCAACCGUGAAAUUGCAGUUGAAACUGGCAGGCUUGAGUGCAGUAGAGGUGGGCGGAAUUCGUGGUGUAGCGGUGAAAUGCUUAGAUAUCACGAAGAACUCCGAUGGCGAAGGCAGUUCACUGGACUGCAACUGACACUGAGGCUCGAAAGUGUGGGUAUCAAACAGGAUUAGAUACCCUGGUAGUC
rnacentral:rRNA from 1 species